UUUAGUGCUUGUCUUGCCUUAUCUUUUUCGUCUAAACCAAUGUCUCCGUCAGUACAAAGAUACCGGGGAGAAAACUUGUCUUUUGAAUGAUUGGAAGAUUAGGUGGUGGAGGAUCAGAUUAUAAACCUUUUGUGCAGCAUGUGGGAAUUCCAUCAAUUGAUAUAGCCUUUGGAGGAGAAUUUCUUGUGCCAAAAAGGGAAGCAUCAGUGAGAAUUUCCUUGUGCCAGAAUUUCUUGUAUAUCAAGAAUGCUGUUGCAUCAUCAAACUUAACUCCUUGAGACACCAAAUUUAAGAGAACAAUGGUUUUCUCUAGUUGAUGAUUUGCUGCAUUAGCUCCAAUAAUGCGAACCUGGUUGCGACUCAACAAAAGACUGGCUGCAAUUUCCUCAGCUAGCUUGAAAACCAAAGGGAAGAACUUGUAUAUUGCAAUGCUGAUGUGGAGUUUAACUUGAAGUGGCCACACAACCACAAGGAGAUCCAGGAGGUGUAUUUGUCAAUGGCUCUGAGCAAGUCACCAUCAUGCAAUCUAAAAGGAAUAGGAUCAAUAUAAAAUCUUGUUUGUUUAAAUUGUUGAAAAUGAAGGAACUAGUAGUGUCAAUGAGUAAUGUAAAUAGUUAUAGUUCUGUCAAUGGUUUA